rnacentral:rRNA from 1 species
AUUGAACGCUGGCGGCAUGCUUUACACAUGCAAGUCGAACGGCAGCGCGGGGCAACCUGGCGGCGAGUGGCGAACGGGUGAGUAAUACAUCGGAACGUACCCAGAAGUGGUGGAUAACGUAGCGAAAGUUACGCUAAUACCGCAUACGUUCUACGGAAGAAAGUGGGGGACCUUCGGGCCUCAUGCUUUUGGAGCGGCCGAUGUCUGAUUAGCUAGUUGGUGAGGUAAAGGCUCACCAAGGCGACGAUCAGUAGCUGGUCUGAGAGGACGACCAGCCACACUGGGACUGAGACACGGCCCAGACUCCUACGGGAGGCAGCAGUGGGGAAUUUUGGACAAUGGGCGCAAGCCUGAUCCAGCAAUGCCGCGUGAGUGAAGAAGGCCUUCGGGUUGUAAAGCUCUUUUGUCAGGGAAGAAACGGCUGAGGAUAAUACCUUCGGCUAAUGACGGUACCUGAAGAAUAAGCACCGGCUAACUACGUG